AUUGAACGCUGGCGGCAUGCUUUACACAUGCAAGUCGAACGGUAACAGGUUAAGCUGACGAGUGGCGAACGGGUGAGUAAUGCAUCGGAACGUGCCCGAUCGUGGAGGAUAACGCAGCGAAAGCUGCGCUAAUACCGCAUACGAUCUGAGGAUGAAAGCGGGGGACCGUAAGGCCUCGCGCGAUCGGAGCGGCCGAUGUCAGAUUAGGUAGUUGGUGGGGUAAAGGCUCACCAAGCCAACGAUCUGUAGCUGGUCUGAGAGGACGAGCAGCCACACUGGGACUGAGACACGGCCCAGACUCCUACGGGAGGCAGCAGUGGGGAAUUUUGGACAAUGGGCGAAAGCCUGAUCCAGCAAUGCCGCGUGCAGGAAGAAGGCCUUCGGGUUGUAAACUGCUUUUGUACGGAGCGAAAAGGCCCUCUCUAAUACAGGGGGUUUAUGACGGUACCGUAAGAAUAAGCACCGGCUAACUACGUGCCAGCCGCCGCCGUAA
rnacentral:rRNA from 1 species